AACGAACGCUGGCGGCAGGCCUAACACAUGCAAGUCGAACGCUGUAGCAAUACAGCGUGGCAGACGGGUGAGUAACGCGUGGGAACCUACCCUUUGGUUCGGAAUAGCUCAGGGAAACUUGAGUUAAUACCGGAUAAGCCCUGCGGGGGAAGGAUUUAUCGCCAAAGGAUGGGCCCGCGUCGGAUUAGCUAGUUGGUGGGGUAAAGGCCUACCAAGGCGACGCUACGUAGCCGGUCUGAGAGGAUGAUCAGCCACACUGGGACUGAGACACGGCCCAUACGCCUACGGGAGGCAGCAGUGGGGAAUAUUGGACAAUGGGGGCAACCCUGAUCCAGCCAUGCCGCGUGAGUGACGAAGGUUUUCGGACUGUAAAACUCUUUUGGCGGGGAAGAUAAUGACGGUACCCGCAGAAUAAGCCCCGGCUAACUUCGUGCCAGCAGCCGCCGUAA
rnacentral:rRNA from 1 species